UUUAUUUAUUUAUUUAGCUUUGCCAACUAGGGCAGGGUCACCACAACAGCAUGUGCCAAUUACUGUGGGCCCUUUUUACCUAACCCACCCUGUCAACUUUCCCUGUGGGAGGAAACCGGAGUACCCGGGGAAAACCCACGGCUUUCGGCAGAGCGUUGACUUUUACUCUUUUCACAUGGGGACUGGGUUCGAGUCGCACUGAGAAGGUACUUAGUGAGACUCGAACCUGCAGCCUCAGAGGUGAAAGGCAAGUGCGCUAACCACUUG